GGGUAUAGUUCUUCGGAUUAGAGACCGGCGCACGGGUGCGUAACGCGUAUGCAAUCUGCCUUUUACAGAGGGAUAGCCCAGAGAAAUUUGGAUUAAUACCUCAUAGUAUUAUAGAGUGGCAUCACUUUAUAAUUAAAGUCACAACGGUGAAAGAUGAGCAUGCGUCCCAUUAGCUAGUUGGUAAGGUAACGGCUUACCAAGGCAACGAUGGGUAGGGGUCCUGAGAGGGAGAUCCCCCACACUGGUACUGAGACACGGACCAGACUCCUACGGGAGGCAGCAGUGAGGAAUAUUGGACAAUGGGCGCAAGCCUGAUCCAGCCAUGCCGCGUGCAGGAUGACGGUCCUAUGGAUUGUAAACUGCUUUUGUACGAGAAGAAACAUCCCGACGUGUCGGGACUUGACGGUAUCGUAAGAAUAAGGAUCGGCUAACUCCGUGCCAGCAGCCGCGGUAAUACGGAGGAUCCAAGCGUUAUCCGGAAUCAUUGGGUUUAAAGGGUCCGUAGGCGGUUUAAUAAGUCAGUGGUGAAAGCCCAUCGCUCAACGGUGGAACGGCCAUUGAUACUGUUAAACUUGAAUUAUUAGGAAGUAACUAGAAUAUGUAGUGUAGCGGUGAAAUGCUUAGAUAUUACAUGGAAUACCAAUUGCGAAGGCAGGUUACUACUAAUGGAUUGACGCUGAUGGACGAAAGCGUGGGGAGCGAACAGGAUUAGAUACCCUGGUAGUCCACGCCGUA
rnacentral:rRNA from 1 species